rnacentral:lncRNA from 1 species
UGGCAGUCUGGUUUCAGGCCCGGCUACAGCACUGAGACUGCCUUGGUCACACUGAUAGAUGAUCUCUGGCGGGCUCGGGAUAGGGGUUACUCCUCUAUCCUGGUGCUUCUUGACCUCUCGGCGGCUUUCGAUACCAUCGACCAUGGUAUCCUUCUACGCCGGCUGGAGGGGUUGGGAGUGGGAGCCACCGUUUUACGGUGGUUUUCCUCCUACCUGUCUGGUCGGUUGCAGUCGGUGUUAGUAGGGAGGCAGAGGUCUGCCCCUAGGCCCCUCAUUUGUGGGGUGCCUCAGGGGUCUGUCCUCUCCCCCCUGCUAUUCAACAUUUACAUGAAACCGCUGGGUGAGAUCAUCCGUAGUUACGGGGUGAGUUACCAUCAAUACGCUGAUGAUACUCAGCUGUACAUUUCCACCCCGCACCAAUUCAGUGAAGCGGUCGAUGUAAUGUGCCGGUGUCUGGAGGCUGUCAGGGUCUGGAUGGGCGUCAACAGGCUUAGACUCAACCCUGACAAGACGGAAUGGCUGUGGGUGUUACCUCCCAAGGACUCGGCCAUCUGUCCAUCCAUUACUUUGGGGGGGGGGGAAUUGUUGACCUCCUCAGAGAAGGUCCAUAACCUGGGUGUGCUCCUUGAUCCGCAGCUGACUUUGGAACAUCAUCUGUCGGCUGUGGCGAGGGGAGCAUUUGCCCAGGUUCGGUUAGUCCAUCAGUUACGGCCUUAUUUGGAUAGGGAGUCCCUCCUUACAGUUGCUCAUGCCCUCAUCACCUCGAGGAUCGACUACUGCAAUGCUCUCUACAUGGGGCUACCUUUGAAGAGUGUCCGGAGACUGCAGGUAGUCCAAAAUGCAGCCGCGCGAGCUAUUUCUGGCUUGCCUAGAUAUGCCAGUGUCUCUCCAACACUCNGCGAGCUNCAUUGGCUGCCGGUUAGUCUCCGUACCCAAUUCAAAGUGUUGGUUGUUACCUAUAAAGCCCUACAUGGCUUAGGACCAGGUUACUUACGGGACCGUCUCCUGCCUCAUGUAUCCCAGCGGCCGGUCAGGAGCCACAGAGUUGGCCUUCUCCAGGUCCCGUCAGCCAAUCAAUGUCGGCUGGCGGGCCCCAGGGGAAGGGCCUUCUCUGUGGCAGCUCCGACCCUGUGGAACCAGCUUCCCCUNGAGAUNCGUACUGCCCCUACUCUCCUGGCCUUNCGGAAGAUUUUAAAAACACACCUCUGCCGGCAGGCCUGGGGUCACGGAAUUUGAUGCUCCACUGUUUGGUAGGAUGACUGUGUGGUGUGAAUGUUAGUUAG